UCAUUGAGACAGCUCCAUGGGGAGAAGACUCCAGCACCAUAGACAACCAGAUUACAACCCACAUCAAAUUUCACAGCUCCAUGCAAAGAAGCUCAGAAGUAGAACGAGCCAAAAGGGCACUGAUGUCAACAGGUGGAAAGUACCAACUCUCCCUCUUGGAACAAGAAUGGGACAACCUGCAGAUUUUUUUUGUGGCAGAAAUUGUCCCACAGUCGCUUGAGUCAGCUACGGGAGCUUCAGAACAUCAUCGAUGAGAUCUUUCAAGCCAUCAUGUGGGUGAAUGACAGAGAGGAAGAGGAGCUGGUCUUUGACUGGGGAGACAAGAAUAUUGACCAGUACAUCCCCAAGAAGCA